CGAGGGAGAGGGUGCACGCUGAUUAAUUUUCCUUUCCUAUUGAACAUACAACUUUCCGUAUGAAAUAUUAUAGUUUAUUUACAUUUUGGAAUACCUGAGGAUGAAAUAGAAACAUUGUUUGACUUGUUUGGACGAAGUUUAGUGGUAGCUUUUUGGACUCCUUUGUCUGCAGGUUGAACGAGUGGAUUGCUGAAAUCGAUGGCUCCAACUAAACUGACUUUUUGGGAUAUAAAGAAGGAUUUUACCUAACAAAACGACCAUUCAUGUUGUAGCUGGGACCCUUGGAAUUGCAAACAGAGGAAGGUCUUCAAAACUGUGUGAGUUUGGAAAUCUCUGCAUCAACAUCUCUCCGGCCUGACACAACGAGACAGGUAAUGGAAUGACUUUUCCUGGACUCACCUAUACUCCCUCCACCUGGC
rnacentral:lncRNA from 1 species